rnacentral:rRNA from 1 species
AGAAUGAACGUUGGCGGCGUGGAUUAGGCAUGCAAGUCGUGCGCGAUAUGUAGCAAUACAUGGAGAGCGGCGAAAGGGAGAGUAUAACGUAGGUAUCUACCCUCGGGUCUGGGAUAGCGGCGGGAAACUGCCGGUAAUACCAGAUGAUGUCCCCGGACCAAAGGUGUGAUUCCGCUCGAGGAGGAGCCUACGCCCUAUUAGCUAGUUGGCAGGGUAACGCCUACCAAGGCAAAGAUGGGUAUGGGGUGUGAGAGCAUCGCCCCCACUCACUGGGACUGAGACACUGCCCAGACACCUACGGGUGGCUGCAGUCGAGAAUCUUCGGCAAUGGGCGCAAGCCUGACCGAGCGACGCCGCGUGCGGAUGAAGGCUUUCGGGUUGUAACCGCUGUCGUAGAGGAGGAAUGUCGGUGGUACUCCAUCGGCUUGACUGAUUCAGGAGGAAGGACGGCUAAGUUCGCGCCAGCAGCCG